rnacentral:rRNA from 1 species
AAUUUUAUUUUAAUUAAAAUAAUAUUAAAUUUAAUUAGUUAAUUUUAGUAAAAUUAAAAGAAAAAAUAUUUGUGUUUAUAAAAUAUUAGUAAAGUUAUUGAAUUUUUAAAAAGUUUAAAUAAAUUAAAAUUAAUAAAAGAAGAUUUAAUAGGUCGUAUCUUGGGUAUCAGAGUUUAAUAAAAAUAUUUAAAUAUGUUUAAUUUUCUCGAAAAAAAUUAGGAGUUAAAAAUUAAAUUUUUAUUAAUGUUUAAAAAUUAUAAAUAAUUAAUUUUUGGAAAUGAAAAGUUAUUCGUUUUUUUUUAUAUCUAGUUUUGAAAGAAAUAAAUUUAAUUUGGAUUUUUGUUUAUAAGGGUAUCAUUAAAAAGAUUUUAAUUAUUAUUAAUUAAAAAUUAGUAUAUAUGGGGUUAAGCUUAUAUAUAAACUUUUAAAUUUAUUAUAUGUUAAUUGGAAUAAAAUUAUAAAAUUAAAAUUUUAUUUUAUUUAAUUUUUAAUAUUUAAUUUAUUUUUUAAAUAAGAAAUAUUUAAUUUAGUUUAAAUUAAAAAUUUAUUUUGAGAACUUAAAUAAUUUUAUAUUUAAAAGAGAUAAUGUUAAAAUUAGUAUAAUUAAAUAUAAAAUUGAUAUUAAUAUUAAAAAAUUAAAAUUAAUUAAUUAGGCAAAAUUAAAAUUAUUUUUAAAAAAUUUAAUUAUUUCACAUGUUUAACAAAAACAUGUCUUUUAGUUUUAAAUUUAAAGUCUAAUCUGCCCACUGAAAACUAAUUUAAAGGGCUGCAGAAUUUUAACUGUACGAAGGUAGCAUAAUAAAUUGUUUUUUAAUUGAAAACUAGAAUGAAUGAUUUCAUGAAAAUAAAACUGUCUAAAUUUUAUAAUUAAAAUUUAUUUUUUUUGUUAAAAAACAAAAAUUAAUUAAAAAGACGAGAAGACCCUUUAGAUUUUAAUUUUUUAAAGUUUUUUAAUCAAUUGAAUAAUUUGAAAUUGAAUUUGGUAUAUUAAUUAUAAAGAAUAGAAAAAAUUUGAUUGGGGUGAUUUAUAAAUUUUUUAAACUUUAAUUUAUUGGAGUAAAAUAUUUUAAUUUAAAAAAAAAUUAGUUUUAAAAAAUAUUGAUUUAGUUUUAUGGAUUAUAGGAAUAAAUUACCUAAGGGAUAACAGCGUUAUUUAGAUUUUUAGUUCUUAUAGAAAUUUAAGAUUGCGACCUCGAUGUUGGAUUAAGAUAAAUUUAAAAAGAAGAAGUUUUAGAAUUUAGUCUGUUCGACUAUUAAAAUCUUACAUGAUCUGAGUUCAAACCGGCGUGAGCCAGGUUGGUUUCUAUCUUUUAAAAUAUAGAAAAAAUGUUUUAGUACGAAAGGAUUGAAUGUUUAAAAUAAAAAAUUUUUUAAGAUUUUUGAAUA